rnacentral:rRNA from 1 species
CCUACGGGGGGCUGCAGUGGGGAAUAUUGCACAAUGGGCGCAAGCCUGAUGCAGCCAUGCCGCGUGUGUGAAGAAGGCCUUCGGGUUGUAAAGCACUUUCAGCGGGGAGGAAGGCGUUAAGGUUAAUAACCUUGUCGAUUGACGUUACCCGCAGAAGAAGCACCGGCUAACUCCGUGCCAGCAGCCGCGGUAAUACGGAGGGUGCAAGCGUUAAUCGGAAUUACUGGGCGUAAAGCGCACGCAGGCGGUCUGUCAAGUCGGAUGUGAAAUCCCCGGGCUCAACCUGGGAACUGCAUUCGAAACUGGCAGGCUAGAGUCUUGUAGAGGGGGGUAGAAGUCCAGGUGUAGCGGUGAAAUGCGUAGAGAUCUGGAGGAAUACCGGUGGCGAAGGCGGCCCCCUGGACAAAGACUGACGCUCAGGUGCGAAAGCGUGGGGAGCAAACAGGAUUAGAUACCCCUGUAGUC